AUCCAGCUAACGAGUCUCAAAUAGGACGAAAUGCACAUCCUGAAU
rnacentral:hammerhead_ribozyme from 1 species